rnacentral:rRNA from 1 species
UACGUAGGGACCAAGCGUUGUUCGGAUUCAUUGGGCGUAAAGGGUGCGUAGGUGGCGAUGCAAGUCUGGUGUGAAAUCUCGGGGCUUAACCCCGAAAUUGCAUUGGAUACUGCGUUGCUCGAGGAUUGUAGAGGAGAGUGGAAUUCACGGUGUAGCAGUGAAAUGCGUAGAUAUCGUGAGGAAGUCCAGUUGCGAAGGCGACUCUCUGGGCAAUUCCUGACACUGAGGCACGAAGGCCAGGGGAGCAAACGGG